CCUACGGGAGGCAGCAGUAGGGAAUUUUCGGCAAUGGGGGCAACCCUGACCGAGCAACGCCGCGUGAACGACGAAGUACUUCGGUAUGUAAAGUUCUUUUAUCAGGGAAGAAUGGCUUACGGAAAAGUGAGCGUGACGGUACCUGAUGAAUAAGCCCCGGCUAACUAUGUGCCAGCAGCCGCGGUAAUACAUAGGGGGCAAGCGUUAUCCGGAAUUAUUGGGCGUAAAGGGUGCGUAGGUGGCCGUUUAAGUCUUUGGUGUAAGUGCAAGGCUCAACCUUGUGAUGCUAAAGAAACUGGAUGGCUUGAGUGUGGUAGAGGCAAGUGGAAUUCCAUGUGUAGCGGUAAAAUGCGUAAAUAUAUGGAGGAACACCGGUGGCGAAGGCGGCUUGCUGGGCCACAACUGACACUGAGGCACGAAAGCGUGGGGAGCAAACAGG
rnacentral:rRNA from 1 species